CCUANGGGGGGCUGCAGCGACGAAUAUUCCGCAAUGCACGAAAGUGUGACGGAGCAAUGCCGCGUGCAGGAUGAAGCGGCUUCGCCGUGUAAACUGCUGUCAGGGGUCAGAAACACUGAUCGACCCCAAAGGAAGAGCCGGCUAACCCUGUGCCAGCAGCCGCGGUAAUACAGGGGGCUCAAGCGUUAAUCGGAAUCACUGGGCUUAAAGGGUGCGUAGGCGGACGAGAAAGUGUUCUGUGAAAUCCCCCGGCUCAACCGGGGAAUGGCGGGGCAAACUUCUCGUCUUGAGGCAAGUAGAGACUGUCGGAACGCUAGGUGGAGCGGUGAAAUGCGUAGAGAUCUAGCGGAACGCCGAAGGUGAAGACAGGCAGCUGGGCUUGUCCUGACGCUCAGGCACGAAAGCGUGGGGAGCAAACGGGAUUAGAUACCCCGNUANUC
rnacentral:rRNA from 1 species